AGAGUUUGAUCAUGGCUCAGGAUGAACGCUGGCGGCGUGCCUAACGCAUGCAAGUCGAGCGAGGGCCAUCUGGUGGCAACACCGGGUGGUGCCUAGCGGCGAACGGGUGAGUAACACGUGGGUAACCUGCCCCCGACACCGGGAUAAGCCUGGGAAACUGGGUCUAAUACCGGAUAUGAGCCUCCUCCGCAUGGUGGGGGCUGGAAAGGGUCUCCGGUCGGGGAUGGGCCCGCGUCCUAUCAGCUUGUUGGUGGGGUAACGGCCUACCAAGGCGACGACGGGUAGCCGGCCUGAGAGGGUGUACGGCCACACUGGGACUGAGACACGGCCCAGACUCCUACGGGAGGCAGCAGCGGGGAAUAUUGCGCAAUGGGCGAAAGCCUGACGCAGCGACGCCGCGUGCAGGACGACGGCCUUCGGGUUGUAAACCGCUUUCAGCAGGGACGAAGCGAAAGUGACGGUACCUGCAGAAGAAGGUCCGGCCUACUACGUGCCAGCAGCCGCGGUA
rnacentral:rRNA from 1 species